rnacentral:rRNA from 1 species
CAAGACCUGCGCUUUUGGAGCGGCCGAUGCCUGAUUAGCUUGUUGGUAAGGUAAAAGCUUACCAAGGCUUCGAUCAGUAGCUGGUCUGAGAGGACGGCCAGCCACACUGGGACUGAGACACGGCCCAGACUCCUACGGGAGGCAGCAGUGGGGAAUUUUGGACAAUGGGGGCAACCCUGAUCCAGCCAUGCCGCGUGAGUGAAGAAGGCCUUCGGGUUGUAAAGCUCUUUCAGCCGGAACGAAACGGUUACGGUUAAUACCCGUGAUUACUGACGGUACCGGAAGAAGAAGCACCGGCUAACUACGUGCCAGCAGCCGCGGUAAUACGUAGGGUGCGAGCGUUAAUCGGAAUUACUGGGCGUAAAGCGUGCGCAGGUGGUUUUGUAAGUCAGAUGUGAAAGCCCCGGGCUCAACCUGGGAACU